rnacentral:rRNA from 1 species
AUUGAACGCUGGCGGCAGGCCUAACACAUGCAAGUAGAACGAGUGGCGGACGGGUGAGUAAUGUCUGGGAAACUGCCCGAUGGCGGGGGAUAACUACUGGAAACGGUAGCUAAUACCGCAUACCAUCGGAUGGGACCAGAUGGGAUUCGAUAGUAGGUGGGGUAACGGCUCACCUAGGCGACGAUCCAUAGCUGGUCUGAGAGGAUGACCAGCCACCCUGGAACUGAGACACGGUCCAGACUCCUACGUGAGGAAGCAGUGGGGAAUAGUGCACAAUUGGCGCAAUCCUGAUGCAGCCAUGCCGCGUGUAUGAAGAAGGCCUUCGGGUUGUAAAGUACUUUCAGCGAGGAGGCGGUAAUCGAAGAAGAAGCACCGGCUAACUCCGUGCCAGCAGCCGCGGUAAUAG